rnacentral:lncRNA from 1 species
GGUUCAUUGCGAUCCCAAGGUUCACUGCGGUUUUCCACAAGCCUGUUUCUGCCUAUCACCAUGAGUGAUUCCUCAAUACUCAGAUUUAUCAUCAAGAUCUCAAUUAUAAGCUCAAGUUUUGAUGACAACUUGGUGAUCUGCAGAAAGCCCCACCAUGUAAGGAAGGCCAAGACCACUCUGGAAUCAGUCAAGGCUCAUAGGAACUCCAAUCUUCCCAACUGUGAGAGGGCCUUGCUCCAGUGACUGUCAGUGAAAUGGAGUGAGGCAUACCAGGAUAUGCCUGGUUUUACUUUUGGGAAGGAGGUUGAACAGUGCAAUAUUUCUUCUAUAGGAUUGCAGUGACCAGACAUGCUACUGUAACUCUCAUGGUCAUGUGCUGGAAUUAGCAGAUAUUCAACAAUUUGGCCAUCUCGCUGACCUGUUGAUAUCAGAAGACCGCAACAGCUCUACAAAGCAAGUUGCAAAACAGAAUCCAUGAAACUGGCAGUGACUGGAAACCAAUUGGAAGACUUUGGUCUGUGAUGUAGAGGAGUGGGCAGAGGGUGAGGAAAUUCUUAUUAAUAUUACAUGUAGUCAUGAAAAAUUGUGUUACUAUUACUGUCAUUUUUUUUUCAGUAGCAGAAGCAAAGACAACAAAAAACAGAAGUGAUAUGGAUGUCUUUGUCAUAUUGCAUG